CGGUACCGGCGGCGGGGCGGGCUGCCGGGCGGUGGUCGCGUGCGGAACCCCGCGGCGCCGGCUGCGUCGCGGGGUUCGCUAUCUCGUGGUGCCGA
rnacentral:tRNA from 1 species